UAUCAGUCCUGUAGUCAUAGUAAUAAUUCAUGCCUCUCUUACACCAGUGACACAACACUCUUUUUCUAUUAGUGCUGCAACGACGCGUCGACGUCAUCGAUUACGUCGACAUGCGUGAAAUGCGUCGACGCGUCACACUGUUUACAUUCAUCUUGCGUAACGGCGGCUUCUGCUCCUGGGAAUGGAGAAAGUUCCAGUCUAUCACAAAAAGCUAGACCACGAUUAUCAAAAGUAUGGGAAUACUUUAAACAGAGGCCAAAUAAAAUGGCAGCACAACUGCGAUGCACGAGCACCGCAGAAGAAAACAUCCUGGCGCUCUCCGACCUCAAAAGGACGAGACAUCUUUGAAGAUUUCUGUCAUUAAAAAGGUGUCACUGUUUGCACGCCCCAAAUGGCCGUUCAUGUAUUUUUGCAGUGUUGAGCAGUGAUUUUGUUGAAUUUAUAUGGCAGUUUGAAUGCUUUUUAAAUUUAUAUGGCAUUAUUCGUGCCUGAUGCUAAAGUGUUGUUUACAUUUUAUUUUUGGCACUUUAUUUUUGUAUACUGUAAAAACUUCAACCACAUUGAAGUAUUUUUUGGAAAAAAUGUAAUAAAAGUUGAAAUAUUA